rnacentral:lncRNA from 1 species
GUGGAUACCUGAUCUAUGGAAACAGCAUUUGAUUCUUGAUAAUUCUUGGCAAUUUCCAAGCAGUAUAAAACACCCCCAUCAGCAUUAAAAGAAGAAACUUUCAAAGGAUUACUUGAGGAGAAAAACGAUGAUCUCCAAUUGUUGAUGAUUCCUUCAUCAACAAUUACAAAACCUUCGACAUAAUCGAAUUUUUGGGUGUCUGGUUGUCCAUGCAAAGAGAUAAGGUACUCCUGAUCCUGUGUAAAACUUGAAAAAUUCGAAUACAAUACUCGAAUCCACCUAGCCUGGAUAAAACAAG